rnacentral:rRNA from 1 species
GACGAACGCUGGCGGCGUGCUUAACACAUGCAAGUCGAACGGUGAAGGGACCGGUUUUUGCUGGUUCUGGAUGAGUGGCGAACGGGUGAGUAACACGUGAGUAACCUGCCCCCUUCUUCUGGAUAACCGCAUGAAAGUGUGGCUAAUACGGGAUAUUCUGCGCCUGCUGCAUGGUGGGGGUGGGGAAGAUAUUGUUUCGGUGGGGGAUGGGCUCGCGGCCUAUCAGCUUGUUGGUGGGGGGAUGGCCUACCAAGGCGGUGACGGGUAGCCGGCCUGAGAGGGUGGACGGUCACACUGGGACUGAGACACGGCCCAGCCCCCUGCGGGAGGCAGCAGGGGGGAAUAUUGCACAAGGGGCGCAAGGCUGAUGCAGCGACGCCGCGUGAGGGAUGGAGGCCGUCGGGUUGUAAACCUCUUUCGCCAGUGAAGCAGGCCUGUCCCUUUUGUGGGUGGGUUGACGGUAGCUGGAUAAGAAGCGCCGGCUAACUACGUG